ACAGCUCUGACAGCCGCCGCCUUCUCCGCCGCCGCCGCAGCUUCCGCCCACGCGCGCCUUGACCUGGGCCCGCCCAACCCACCGCCCCGAGGAGGGCGCCUAAGCAUCAAAAAGAGUUUGACGGACCUCUCAACCUAUUAACCGCUCCCCGCAGGGCCGUAGGUCAAGUGUCAUAUUUUAAAUUAAGAUGCUGUUGAGUAAGAAAAAACUAAGGGCCAAAUUCCUAUCUCGGGGGGAAAAGAGUAUCUAAAUCCACAGUCCUCUCCCCUCACGCUUGGACUCUUCCGAGCAGGGCCGUGCCGAGCGCUCACGUUCUACGCAUGCGCUGGGCGCUGGUCUGGGACCGCGUGCUCACCGGCCCCCUCGCAUUCUUGCAAUGUCAACCGACGGCGCUAGGGGGCGCGCCGCGGAGUCCUAUUCUGAGACAGACGCCAGGUGGCUACCCUUUGCCAGGCAGCAAGGCCGGUGGACACCGUGCAGCUGUUGUUCCUUUGUCGGGGUGCAGGAGUGAUGGGCUGGCCUUGUCUGCUCUUGCGGGAGAGCACAUCUUUUCACCCCUUUGGUUUCCAGUGACUCUACCAAUCACAGAAUUCUACCCAUUAUGGACACAGAAGGUAACAUGGGCAAAAAUAGUAAUACAUCACUCCAGACCCAGUAUUGGUCCAAGCAGAUCAACUAGAGUCCUUCUCUGAGAAUUGAGAUGGACGGGCAGCUUCCUCUUUCUCCUUGGAUCAUGAGUCAUAAUGCUGUGAAACCAGAGAUGCUGGUGGUCAUGUUUCUAUAUAUAUAUACACCACUCUCCAAUAACGUAUGGAGAAGCUGAAGAGGACGCAGCCAACAGACAAGCAGAAGGCCAGGCCACAACUGAGAAGUGGAGAUGGGACACUUGUGCUAUUUAAAUCUCACAAGUCUGUUGACCCUGCAGCUGGCUCCCCUGCUACAUUUCAGAGGCUGCCUCUGUGAGACAGUAAUUUCUGCUACUUUGCUUAGGCUACCUCGAGCUCCAAUUUCAGUUGACCCUUGAACAACAUGGGUUUGAAGUGGGCUGGUGAGAUUUUUUUUUAACCAAUCGCAGAUCAAAGCUGGUAUACUCCCAAGAUGCUAAACCCACAAACAGGGAGGCAGACUUCUCCUAUACUCAAGUUUGGCAGGACAGGCAACAGGACUGGAGUCUAUUCAGAUUUUGGUACACUGUCAUCUGCCUUAACUGGUCCUGGAACUGAUCUCCUGAGUAUACUGAGGAACAACUGCAUAUCACUUGACACAAAAAGCCUUAAAAUAAAUACUUAAAUUGAAGGGGUGCCUGCUUCA
rnacentral:lncRNA from 13 species